rnacentral:rRNA from 1 species
AGAGCGAACGCUGGCGGCAGGCCUAACACAUGCAAGUCGAGCGCCCGUAGCAAUACGGGAGCGGCAGACGGGAGAGUAACACGUGGGAACGUACCCUUCAGUUCGGAAUAACCCAGGGAAACUUGGACUAAUACCGAAUACGUCCGUAAGGAGAAAGAUUUAUCGCUGAAGGAUCGGCCCGCGUCUGAUUAGCUUGUUGGUGAGGUAACGGCUCACCAAGGCGACGAUCAGUAGCUGGUCUGAGAGGAUGAUCAGCCUCACUGGGACUGAGACACGGCCCAGACUCCUACGGGAGGCAGCAGUGGGAAUAUUGGACAAUGGGCGCAAGCCUGAUCCAGCCAUGCCGCGUGGAUGAUGAAGGCCCUAGGGUUGUAAAGUCCUUUCGACGGGGAAGAUAAUGACGGUACCCGUAGAAGAAGCCCGGCUAACUUCGUGCCAGCAGCCGC